UACAGGAGGGGGCAAGCGUUAUUCGGAAUUAUUGGGCGUAAAGGGCGCGUAGGCGGCUUUUCAAGUGACGGGUGAAAUCCCUCGGCUUAACCGAGGAACUGCCUGUCAGACUGGAAGGCUUGAGACCGGGAGAGGUGAGUGGAAUUCCCAGUGUAGCGGUGAAAUGCGUAGAUAUUGGGAGGAACACCAGUGGCGAAGGCGGCUCACUGGACCGGAACUGACGCUGAGGCGCGAAAGCGUGGGGAGCAA
rnacentral:rRNA from 1 species